rnacentral:rRNA from 1 species
UGCUGUACACCUCUUAUGGAUUGCACAACUGUGGAUAAUCUAAAGCGUGCGGGCGUGAUCGUAGGCGGGACCCAUGCAUCGUUGAGUCCCACCUGGGCUAUGUUGAUGCGAGUCAGUAUUCACUGACCGAGAAGGUGAACUUAUACCGGAUGAUUCAGCGGGGUGGCAUGAUCCUGCUGCUAAAGGUUUCGGGCACUGCUUAAAGGAGCCUGCUUGCCAUUAGCUAGAUGGUGCGGUAACGGAGCGCCAUGGCGAUGAUGGCUAUGGGGUCUGAGAGGAUGAUCCCCCACACUGGGACUGAAACACAGUCCAAACUCCUACGGGAGGCACGCAAUGAGGAAUCUUGCCCAAUGGGGGCAACCCUGACGCAGACACGCCGCGUGCCGGAAGACGGCCCUAUGGGUUGUAAACGGCUUUUAGGUGGGAAGAAUCUCCCAAAUUCCUUCGGGACUGACGGGACCGCCAGAAUAAGCACCGGCUAACUACGUGCCAGCAGCCGCGGUUAUACGGAGGGUGCAAGCGUUGUCCUGAAUUAUUGGCUGUAAAGGGUGCGCAGGCAGAUACCUACAUGGAGUGUGAAAGACGGCCCAUUAACGGCUACAGUGCCUUCGAUACGGUGUUUAUUGAAUCCCGAAGAGUUGGUGGAAUUCGAUGGGAACGUGCAAAUC